rnacentral:sRNA from 1 species
GAAAGCGACCUUCGGGUCGUUAGUAGAGCGGCGCACGGGUGAGUAACACGUGGGUAAUCUACCCUCAGGACCGGGAUAACCAGGGGAAACUCUGGCUAAUACUGGAUAAGACCACGCGACGAGAGUCGUGCGGGAAGAGCGGAGGACCUCUUCGGAGGCUUCGUACCAGAGGAUGAGCCCGCGGCCCAUCAGCUAGUUGGCGGGGUAAUGGCCCACCAAGGCGAAGACGGGUAGCUGGUCUGAGAGGAUGAUCAGCCACACUGGAACUGAGACACGGUCCAGGGUCCUACGGGAGGCAGCAGUGGGAUCUGCAGAA